UAUAAGGUUUGUAUAAGAGAGUUGUUAAGAGAAAAUAGCUCUAUUGCAUGAAAUAUAUGUUGUGAGAUUUAUGAAAGUUUGUUUAUUUGAAUGAAAAAUGAUAUUCUAUCACAACUUCUAUCCAUAAAAAAAUUAGGUCUGUGAUAGUGGAUCACUUAAAUCCACAUCGCACAUGAUUAUUGGAUUUAAGAGUUUGGGGAGGAUUGUGCUAGUUUACUAUAAUUGUGGACCAUGGAAUAAAUUCAAUUGGAUUUAAUCUUGUGGUUGCCUUCCGCUUCUAAUCUUGUCUCUUUCACCUUCUAUCACUAGUACAACAUUUAAAUUUUGAAUUCAAACGUCUUGGUCCUUUAAUAGCAAAUGCCUUCACUUGGUUCAUUUGGAGUUGGCAAACAAAGGAUAAUAGAGAGUAACUAAGUGGGAGAAACUUGUUGUCCAAGAAAUAUUCUUGGAUAUCUCCGACGAUUUUUGUUAGUUAUUCAUGGGCAUUAACUUGGAUGACGGUGCUUUGAUCUGAUGUGGCACAAAUCUGAGCUCCAUAUCAUUGCACACAUUUGACUUCAUGAUUAUCGAAAUUCAUCUAGUUACAUUUGACUUCAUCCAGAUCAAAAUCAUGAUUGCAUGCACAUAUAGAUACAAGUAUUCACAGAUGAAAACCGUUAACAUCAAUAAUUUAAACCACCUUAUUUAAUGCACUACAGGCUAUUUGCUAUGGCUUCUGUUUUUGACUAUAGUGGUUCUUCACCGGUUGGUACAAGUGAUUGAUGCAGUCAUUGUUAGAGGAAUGUCGUUAAUUUUUGCUUCAUCAGGUUGAGGAUCAUAAAUUCUCCGACCGGUGGCUGCUCGUUUUGGGGACUAAUCUGUAUUGACUAAGUAGUUUAAGCUACAAUUUAGAAGGUUGAAUUUGUAAUUUCCUUUCAAAUAGUAGGAGAUUUUAUCACAGAGAAGUUUCGAAAAGCAAAGACUACUUUCUGAAAUGUGUGAUGAUUUUCCAUUUUCCCUUCUUUGGCCAUUCUUUUCUCUGGAAAAUUCCAGCAGUGAGUGAAUUAAUGGCCUAUUUCAUUU
rnacentral:lncRNA from 1 species